CUUGCUUUGAAAUAGCCAGAGAAAGAUAAGAUGAAGAAGAGCUACAACCUCAACCUUCUCUUUCUUGCGUUUCUCAUUGUCUUCUUCAAUUCCCUCUUUGCCAUAUCCAUUGCUUUUGAAUCUGAAACUGAUAAUGAAGUUCAAUAUACAUACAAGGAAGGAACUGGGAAAGGACCAAAGAAAUGGGGUCUUAUAAACAAAAAAUGGGAAGCAUGUAACAAUGGAAAAAUGCAAUCACCUGUCAAUAUUCUUAAAGAAAAAGUUGAAGUUUUGCCAGGUUUGGGCAAAUUAAAAAGGAACUACAAACCAGCUCCUGCAACAGUCAAGAAUAGGGGACAUGAUAUCACUGUGAGAUGGAAAGAAGAUGCAGGAAAAAUUAUGAUCAAUGGGACUGUUUUUAAACUACUACAAUGUCAUUGGCAUUCACCAUCUGAGCACACCUUCAAUGGUUCAAGGUAUGAGCUGGAGCUUCACAUGGUUCAUAUAAGCUCUGGAGGAGGGAAAGCUGUGAUAGGAAUAGUUUACAAAUAUGGGAGGGCUGAUCCCUUCCUUUCAAAGCUAUUUCAUCACAUAAAAUCAGUUGGGAAAGAGGAGAGAGAUUUAGGGAUGGUUAAUCCAGGAGAUAUCAAAUUUGGGAGCAGAAAAUAUUAUAGAUAUGUUGGUUCUCUUACAGUUCCUCCUUGCACUGAAGGAGUGAUUUGGACAAUUGGCAAGAAGGUAAGAACUGCUUCAAGGGAGCAAGUGAAAGCACUAAGGGAUGCUGUUCAUGAUGGUUUUAAGGCAAAUGCAAGGCCAAUUCAGCCAUUAGAUGGAAGAGCAAUUUAUUUGUACUCUCCCCACAAGAAUUAAUUAAGGCUCUGCUUGAAGUGCUUCAUAACAGAAAUACAAAAGAGAGUUGUUGAUGUGGUGCAUGCCACUAAUAAAAUAAACAACACCUCUAGAGACCACCAAUCACUCAAGCUCAAAGAUUUUCAAUCACACCAAUAAGUUCAUUUGCAUAAAAUGUUUUUUGCUUUAUCAUUGGUAUAUACCAAUUUUUAAAUUCUACACAUUUUCUCUUUAAGAGACUGUAUUUUCACAUAUAUAAAGACUUGCGAUUGAUAUAUUUUUGAAUAAUUUGAAUAAAGAUUUGAACUAAG
rnacentral:misc_RNA from 1 species